UUGAUCCUGCGGGAGAAUGCUGCUAUCUGGGUUCAGAUUAACCAUGCAAGUCAAGGGGCUUACUUCGGUGAGCACCGGCGAAAUGCUCAGUAAUACAUUGAUAAUUUAACUUAAGGUCGGGGAUAACCUCGGGAAACUGAAGCUAAAACCUGAUAGGGGAUUUCUACUGGGAUGUGUUUUCCUUGAAAAGUAAUGCCUUAAGAUGAGUCAAUGCCUGAUUAGGUUGAUGGCGGGGUAAUGGCCCACCAUGCCGACGAUCAGUAGGGGCCUUGAGAGAGGUCGCCCCGAGAAGGACACUGAGAAACUGGUCCUAGCCCUACGGGGUGCAGCAGGUAUGAAUUCUUUACAAUGCACGAAAGUGUGAUAAGGGGACCCAGAGUGCUAAUGUUUUGCAUUGGCUUUCGUUAAGUGUAAAUAGCUUGACGAAUAAGUGGAGCGCAAGACUGGUGCCAGCAGGCGCGGUAACACCAGCGCCACAAGUGGGGUUCGUAUUUAUUGGGCCUAAAGCGUCCGUAGCCGGUUUAAUAAGUCUCUUGUGAAACUGUUUGGCUCAACCUAACAAAAUGCAAAAGGUACUGUUAAACUUGAGACCGGGAGGAGUAAGAAGUAUUUCCAGGGAAGCGGUAAAAUGCGAUAAUCCUGGAAAGACUACCUGUGGUGAAGACGUCUUACUAGAACGGUUCUGACGGUCAGGGACGAAAGCCAGGGGAGCGAUCCGGAUUAGAUACCCGAGUAGUCCUGGCUGUAAACGCUGCGAGCUAGGCGUUGCAUUUCCUACGGGGAGAUGCAGUGUCGUAGCGAAGGUGAUAAGCUCGCCGCCUGGGAAGUACGGUCGCAAGGCUGAAACUUAAAGGAAUUGGCGGGGGAACGCCACCAGGGGUGGGGCGUGCGGUUUAAUCCGAUUCUGCGCGGAAAAUCUCACCAGAGGCGACGGCAGGAUGAUUGUCGAGUUGAAGACUCUACAGGACGAGCCGAGAGGUAGUGCAUGGCCGCCGUCAGCUCGUGCCGUAAGGUGUUCUUUUAAGUAAGCUAACGAGCGAGACCUGUACCCAUAAUUGCUAGCGAGUCCUUCAGGACGAUCGUGCACAUUAUGGGGACUGCCUUCGAAAGGAGGAGGAAGGUGCAGGCAACGGUAGGUCUGUAUGCUCCGAAUCUUCUGGGCUACACGCGCGCCACAAUGGUAGGGACAAUGGGACACGACCCUGAGAAGGGAAGUUAAACCUCGAAACCCUAUCAAAGUUCGGAUCGAAUUCUGUAACUCGGAUUCGUGAAGCCGGAAUCCCUAGUAAUCAUAAGUCAACAUCUUAUGGUGAAUAUGUCCACGUUCCUUGCACACACCGCCCGUCAAACCAACCGAGCAGGGUUUAAAUGAGGAUUAGUUUCUUGAUUAAUUCGAAUUUAAAUUCAGUAAGGUGGGUUAAGUCGUCACAAGGUA
rnacentral:rRNA from 1 species